CGAAAGUCACCUUCCAUUUUAAAACCUACUCCAUGAGCCUUUUCAUAUCCCUUCCUCUGGGCAACUGUGGUUAUUCAAAUUUAGCAAAUUUAGCAACCAUGAUUUUGUUUAGCUGGAGACUAGCCUUAGCCUGUCCCAUCCGCUUACUUUUGAAGAGCACCACUUAUUUCAAGAGCACUGUUACGCUGUGAGUGCUGCAUUUAUUAUCUUCCAAAAUUUUGCUCUUGGACCAUUUUUGUUUGUAUUAACAAACAAAAUUAAGUGGCUGAAAUGUUUCUGGAAUAAUUGAUGUACUCCAAUUUUUUUCUUAGGAGUAUUGGAGUAGUCAAGGCACAGUGUUAAGUAUCCCAAUGAGUGACUCCAAACUGUGCUUUCACCUCAUGUGCAGGAGAGAUCUCAGCUCACCAAGCUGUGUGAAUGCCAGAUCAUUUGGGCUAAGAAGCCAAAGGCUGGUUGUUACCCUAAUCCCAUUACUCCCAUGUGUGUCACUGGUUACAGAUGUCAGCAAGCCCUAACCCUGAUGUCUUGAUGGGCCAGCUGAGCUUGAGAAAUCUUUGAUCCCCUGCUCAUAGACCUUUGAGGAAGCAGUGGUAAAAGACUACUAUUUAAAUAAAAUGUUUAUUCUAUUUGAAGAAGCUGAAUUGCAGUCUGGAGGUGCAGUAUGGUCACUCCCAAAGCUGCUGGCAGAACAAGCUGAGACAUGACUUCACUCUGUAUUUUAAGUCCUUAUUGGUCAAGAUGAGAUGCACCCCCCAAAAAAGCUGGAAGAAUUGAAGGCUAGCAAUGGGGCUAAAGGCUUGUCGAUCUCAGCCAGUUCUGAGUACACAUACCUUACUGAUGAGUUCACACUCCGAGUGAAGCUAUAGAGCUGCGGCUGAACUCUGCUUUGGCUUUGGACUGCCUGAAACUCAAAUGCUGGUCCCAAGGUCAGUGCAGUCCUUUAGGUUCAUAAAGAUGGAUUUUUUUCUAGUUUGUAACACAGAUUUCCUUCUCAUGUUCUAAAAAUGAAGUAGCCUAAGUGCUAUGUAGGCACAGAAAAGAGCAGCUUGGCCUCCGCACUGCUUUGCUGACGAGGCUCAGUCUUCUUUGUUGCCUUCUCUGCAGGACUAAGUGUAUCAGGCUUGAAACCCACAUGGAGCGAAAGCAGAAGGAAAUAAUUCAAGUGAAGCCUAAUCUAAACAUGCUCACACCAAACAAGAUUUUUUUUUUACUACAGAUCCUAACAGGGAAAGGGAGCAGGAGUCUUUACACAAGGGGGAGACACAUUUUGUAUGAUGCCCACAACAACUCUCAAAAUAAGAGUAAUGUCUUCAGAAAUUUCUGUUUGACUACCGGUAUAAAGUAGCUUCUGCUUCUGGCUGACACGGAGUCACUUACCAUUCUGUCUUGUUAUCUGGAAAAUAAGAACACCAUUGUUAAAUAUUAUUACUUUUGGAAAUGAGUGUUUUUCACUGGCAAACUGAAUCUUGAGUAGUUCAUUCUUGGAUUUCCUUUUUCUGACAUAAUGAAGGGCAGAAUCAGUUGGCUUCCUGGUGACUGAUUGCUGAACAUUCAGAUCUUGCUCUAUCUUGGGCAGAAAAAGCAAACUAGAGGAAACAGCAAUUUACAUAUUUUCAAUAAAUAAAUGUAGAACUUUUGGUCAAA